rnacentral:rRNA from 1 species
GACGAACGCUGGCGGCGUGCUUAACACAUGCAAGUCGAACGGAGAAGCCCAGCUUUUGGGGUGGUUUAGUGGGGAACGGGGGAGUGAAACGCGAGUAAAACGCCCUCGAGUCUGGGGGAUGCCUGGGGAACUGGGGCGAAUACACGGGAUAUCAGCUCAUGCUACGGGGUGGGGGUGGGAGAGUUACUGGUCUUGGAUGGAGUCGCGGCCUAUCUCCUUGUUGGUGGGGUGUUGGCUCACCAAGGCGACGACGGGUAGCCGGCCUGAGAGGGUGACCGGCCACACUGGGACUGAGACACGGCCCAGACUCCUACGGGAGGCAGCAGUGGGGAAUAUUGCACAAUGGGCGGAAGCCUGAUGCAGCGACGCCGCGUGAGGGAUGACGGCCUUCGGGUUGUAAACCUCUUUCAGUUGGGAAGAAGCGAGAGUGACGGUACCUGCAAAAGAAGCACCGGCUAACUACGUG